CCCUUUUUCUCCUCCUGCCUCUCUUCUCUUCCCUCUAAACUGUGUAAGGUUAAUCAUCUGAUCUUUGAAUAACUGUGUAAGGUUAAUCGAGUUUAGGAUUUCGAUUUUAGUUUCGAUCUAUGUAAGUCAUUAUCAGUUUUUUCGAUUUUAGGGCUUCAUCUCUGUUAAAUCAGAUUUCAGGUUUUUAUUUAUUUUAUCUUUUUCUCGAUUUCAUUUUAGGGUUCGUCAGAUGUGGAGCUUUAAAUAACUGAUCUUGUAUCUCAGCUUAGAAGGUGUUUGUUCUACUUUUUGUCUGUUAGAUUUUGGAAUAAGUUUUAGGGUUUCAGUAUUUUUCAGUGAAGAACAUCAUCGAAAAAACCUAGAGAUUCAUCAACAAAUUCCAGCAAUUGGGGAGGUAUUACAGAGAAGGGACUUAUCAAAGUAAAGUCAGUGAAGUAAAGAAGCUACAAGGGAACAAGAGAUGUUUUCGAAGUCAGUAAGAAAAUGAAACAGGGGACUGGUAUUUGUGUGUUCAAAAAGGUAUUUUUUAAUACAUCUUGCAAACUUGUAAAAGGAGACUGUGUUGACGCCACAUGGUUGAGGAGCUAUCUAACUAGUUUUUCCUCACCAUCUGCAUAACCACUUCACCUGCAAACAUUUUCACAGUGACCACCACUCUCCAUCUUCAACUUGCAGCUAGGCGAAAAAGCAAAAGAAUUGAAGAAAGCAGCUGAUGCCCUCCAACAAGAGGAAAAAAAUGGUGCUAAGGGGAGAAAUUGGCGCCAAAAUGUCAAGGUUGUUGAAAAGGUCAGCCGAGAAGAUACCUUCUUCAACUGCGUGGCAUGCUGUUUCAACAAGGAUCAUGUUUACUGUUUACUACAAACCAAGUAAUUAGGUGUGGAAGUGUUCGCGCGAAGUUGUACCUGUGAUUAGGUAUCAAUUAACUUUUCUUAGUUACAGAAUAUGUUCAUGAUCUUUGUACUACACAGAAUUUGUAUUCCCUUAGGACAUAUGAAUGAACUGAACUGAGGAAGUUUCUAUG